GGUACGGGCUCUGAGAGGAGGGCCCNGGAGAUGGGUACUGAGACACGGACCCAGGCCCUAUGGGGCGCAGCAGGCGAGAAACCUUUGCAAUGUGCGAAAGCACGACAAGGUUAAUCCGAGUGUCUCCUGCUAAAGGAGUCUUUUGUCAGUUGUAGAAUCACUGGUGAAUAAGGGGUGGGCAAGUUCUGGUGUCAGCCGCCGCGGUAAAACCAGCACCUCGAGUGGUCAGGAGGUUUAUUGGGCCUAAAGCAUCCGUAGCCGGUUGCAUAAGUUUUCGGUUAAAUCUAUGCGCUUAACGUAUAGGCCGCCGAAAAUACUGUGCAGCUAGGGAGUGGGAGAGGUACACGGUACUCGAUAGGAAGGGGUAAAAUCCUUUGAUCUAUUGAAGACCACCUGUGGCGAAGGCGGUGUACCAGAACACGUUCGACGGUGAGGGAUGAAAGCUGGGGGAGCAAACCGGAUUAGAUACCCGGGUAGUCCCAGCUGUAAACGAUGCAGACUCGGUGAUGCAUUGGCUUGUGGCCAAUGCAGUGCCGCAGGGAAGCCGUUAAGUCUGCCGCCUGGGAAGUACGUACGCAAGUAUGAACUAAAGGAAUUGGCGGGGGAGCACCACAAGGGGUGAAGCCUGCGGUUCAAUUGGAGUCAACGCA
rnacentral:rRNA from 1 species